ACAAAAUUAAAAAUCUGUAAUUCAAAAUAUUCGUACGUGACCGUUGUAUUAUGUACUGUUGUUGGCCACAAUUUCUGAAAAGAUAUAUAAACUAAAUUUCAGCGAAAUUCGUCAUUAGUUUCUAGCUGGAGCCUCAGCAUAUAUGUCACGUAGUUCCCCGGAAUACUUGGCGCAGAAGUUAGUCCAGAAUCACGUUACGUUCUAAUGUGGUCCACAUCUCUUUAUAAUCACAGAUUCUACUGUCUGCUCCGAUUGCUUGUUACUUCUGAAACUAAUCAACGUUGAUGUCUUCCAAACAAUAUUAAAUUAAUACGGAAGUGUGUAAGAAUUAAACAAUGAGCACGAGCCGCCCACUCUUAUUCAAAAUACAUGGUUCUAAAACGGGCGAAAUCGAGCUACAACUAUACCUUUUUCCCAUAUAGCAAAUUCAAAAUUUCAUUUAUUUAUUAAAAUAAUAUUCAGUAAGAUCUUGAAAAUACUUUUAUUGGAUAUAGUAUGGAUUCAAAGAUUCAAAGAAAAAGUGUGGCCAUAGGCCAUAAGGACCUCAUAUUCGGUAUCUCGGACAUUAAAAAAUUAUAAUGCGGCUUGCAUAUAUUUGAGAUAAGCGAUGGCACACCUUCACAUGUAGGUUUGUAUGUUAGUAUUUGUAUAUUAUUUUCAUAUUACUCCGAAAUAUGAGAAGAUUACAACCACUUCGUUUUAAGUCAUAAAUUAAAUUUAUCCAUUAGUGCUUGAAUUUUACUUCCGCCGUUUUCCAAUAGAUGUCUCUAGGGUCAAGCACUGGUCGAUUAAAUCGAUUUUUUUUUAUAUCGAACUUGGACAUUUGUGUCAACAUUAACCCAACAAAAUAUUUGUAGAGAUCUGUUUGCAUCCCAAACUUAUUCUCAACUGAAAAUGUCACUUUUUGAGCCGAAUUUUCGACGAUGGCGGGAAAUUUCGCUGUUUUUCUUUAAUUCCAAGAAAAGUGCGGCUGAAGCUCUUCUACAUUUUAUUCAAAAAAAAAACGGCGGAAGCAAAGUUGCAGACCUAAUAUGUACCCGUAUAUUAUUAAGUAAACGCAUCUGCUGAAAUUUCCAAAUUGUAAUCUGAAAAUUUGGUUAUUUCAUGAUUGUCCUAAUACUGUUUUGAGGCAAUUAUGUCAAAAUUUAGAACAACAUUUAUAAAAUGCUCAUUGAAAAUCUGACAAUACUCCGAGAUAAGACUCAACUGAAAUCCAUAUACAUGUAUACAUUUAGAAAAAACUGCUUU